UACAAAGCCACCUAGGUGACCUUGGGCCAAUCACUUUUUCCCAGCACUAGGAAGGAGGAAAUAGCAAACCAUUUUUGACAAAAUCUUG